rnacentral:rRNA from 1 species
UGAGGAAUAUUGGUCAAUGGGGGCAACCCUGAACCAGCCAAGUCGCGUGAAGGAUGAAGGUCUUAUGGAUUGUAAACUUCUUUUACACGGGAAUAAAGCGGGGGACGUGUCCCUCUUUGCAUGUACCGUGUGAAUAAGGAUCGGCUAACUCCGUGCCAGCAGCCGCGGUAAUACGGAGGAUCCGAGCGUUAUCCGGAUUUAUUGGGUUUAAAGGGUGCGCAGGCGGGAUGUUAAGUCGGCGGUGAAAUUUUGCAGCCCAACUGUAAAAGUGCCUUCGAUACUGGCCUUCUUGAGUGUGGAUGAAGUAGGCGGAAUUUGUGGUGUAGCGGUGAAAUGCUUAGAUAUCACGAGGAACUCCGAUUGCGCAGGCAGCUUACUAAGCCACAACUGACGCUCAUGCACGAAGGCGUGGGGAUCAAACA